rnacentral:tRNA from 1 species
GCCCCUGAAGCAUUAUUGGUGAUGCACCUGCUUCGUAACCAGGAGAACAGGGUUCGAUUCCCUGCGGGGGCUCCA